rnacentral:rRNA from 1 species
GAUGAACGCUGGCGGCGUGCCUAAUACAUGCAAGUCGAGCGAAUGGAUUAAGAGCUUGCUCUUAUGAAGUUAGCGGCGGACGGGUGAGUAACACGUGGGUAACCUGCCCAUAAGACUGGGAUAACUCCGGGAAACCGGGGCUAAUACCGGAUAACAUUUUGAACCGCAUGGUUCGAAAUUGAAAGGCGGCUUCGGCUGUCACUUAUGGAUGGACCCGCGUCGCAUUAGCUAGUUGGUGAGGUAACGGCUCACCAAGGCAACGAUGCGUAGCCGACCUGAGGAGGUGAGCGGCCACACUGGGACUGAGACACGGCCCAGACUCCUACGGGAGGCAGCAGUAGGGAAUCUUCCGCAGUGGACGAAAGUCUGACGGAGCAACGCCGCGUGAGUGAUGAAGGCUUUCGGGUCGUAAAACUCUGUUGUUAGGGAAGAACAAGUGCUAGUUGAAUAAGCUGGCACCUUGACGGUACCUAACCAGAAAGCCACGGCUAACUACGUGCCAGCCGCCGCAGUAA